AGGCGGCAAAUGAAACAUUCACUAGGCGUCAAAUGAAAAUGACAAAAGAAAAAGCAAAUGAAAAAAAAAUGCUUAUCCCUAAUCUCUCAAAUAUGAAUCCCUACCCUAAUCACGCAUCCUCUGCUUCUUUUUCUCUCUCUCACACCUAGUCUCUCAUUAUCUCUCCCUCGCUCUUUCUCUAUCUCUCUAUCACAGACUCUCGGCUCUCUCUCCCUCGUGCCUAUACUCUCUAGUUUGAUUGUAACACCAUGAUUAAGCCUACUGAAAUAGUUUAGUCUCUCGUCACUCUCUCUUGUUGAGUCGCUGAAGCACACAUGACGACGCCCCUGCUGAAGCAAGAACCCAAGCAACCCAGCUACUCAAGAAUUCGUUUGUCUCUGCAAAGUUUUGGAAACAGUAUGUGGAGUCACAUAUGGCUGUAAAGAAUAAUGAUGCUACAAAACAGAUAUUUAGUUGUUGUUUAUUGAAUUGUCUUCAAGUUCCACUUUGGCAGUGCUACAUUAAGUUCAUAAGAAAGACCAAUGACAAGAAAGGGCUAGAGGGUCAAGAAGACACUAAGAAGGCAUAUGAUUUCAUGCUCAACUAUGUUGGAAGAAAUGCAAUGGAUGGCAUGGAAAAAUUUGUUAGAAUUUGAAAAGUGCUUUUGUAGCCAUUUCUUUGGUGCACCAAUAGGUAUGCCACUUGCAAGCUUGGCAUGCUAUUCUUUUUUAGGCUCAUAAUACCGAGCUAGAAGAUGAACCUCCAACAAAAAGACGACUUUCAUCAGCCUUUGUCAAGAGAUCUUUCAAACAACUUUACUAGUUCAAGACCUCAAGAACUUAGUCAGUUUCAGAACUUGCUUUCAUUGUAUUUUUUCUCUAAUUAUUGACUCUUAUUUUCCCAAGAGAUUAGAACACAACAAUAUAUCAAGUGAUAUUACUCAACUUCCUCAGCCUUAUUGUACUGUGAGUUCACUAUUCACAAAAUUUUGUUUCUUUAUCUUUUCUUGUAAUGUAGUCUACAUGAUAGAAAAACUCACAUGAACUCUGUUUUACAACUUUGAAAUGACCAAAUAUGUGUAGAAAUGUAUCUUACAACAACUUAGCACGUCUCAUGUAUAUUAUUAAGAUUUUCUUUGUUUAGUUCAUGAAUUUUUGUUACCAUUAAUGUAUAUUAGAUAUUACUUGUAUUCUCUUUUUCUGCUGAACUCAUCUUUACUAACUGGCAUUGUAGAUUAUGUAGUUGAACAAAUAGAUUCCACAAUGGAAAGAAGAGCAUAAUGAAUCAUGGAUUGGAUGGGAGCUAUCUUCAAACUUUUUUUUGUCUUUUGAUUAUGUCUUGUUGUUCACUUUUUAAGUAAACAUGUGGAGCUCUAGUAGUUCGUUAUGUCUUGUGUAUAUUUCAAAACAUCACCUAAGAAUUUUAUUAAGUGGUGAUAGUUAUGGUUUGAAUAGAAUAUUGUACCAGAUUUGAAUUAGUAAAUGUUCAAUGUUAUAAUUUUCAUA